rnacentral:tRNA from 1 species
GCGGGGAUAGCUCAAUUGGGAAAGCGUCAGACUGAAGAUCUGAAGGUCGUGUGUUCGAUAAAA